UUGACAUUUCACUUUUUCAGUAAUGAUGGCGCACUUGCGAAAGGUGUUUAGUUUACUGUAACUUUUAUUUUUAUGUAGUGCCGUGAAGUGAAAACCAAGUGAUUUUAAUGCCGUACCGCAGGCGCUUCUCAGCCAAGAUGCCAGAUUUCGACGACGAAGUGACUGUCGUCGAUGUUUACGACCUGGCAUCGGACAUUGGCAAGGAAUGCGAGAUAAUUAUUGAAAAAUACGGCCCUGACGCCGUUACAGCGCUGCUGCCGAAGGUGAUUAAUGCGCUGGAGUUGCUGGAGAACUUGGCGGUGCGCAACGAGAAGGAGAAUCAAGCGCUGCAGGAGUUGACGGCUAAGAUUUCACAGUUGGAGAAUGAUAAAAUUGAGAAGGCUGAAUACAGGCAGCGCUUCGAGAAGGAAAUAGAAGCAAUCGAAGAACAAUGGCGGACGGAAUCAGCAGAGUUGGUGACCGCUGUGGCGAGGCUGCAGGACGAGAACAAACGUCUACGGCGGACCAUCAAUGCUCCUGCAGAUGGUUCAAGCGCACCGCCAUCCCCAGCUCGGGAACACGACCAGGAAGUCCUGUCUCGGCUGAGCAGCACUGCGGAGAAGCAGCGAGCGACGUUACGUCAUCAGGAGUUACAACUGCAAGAGAAGCAGCAGCUGAUUGACAGUUUGACGAAUCAAGUGGAGAAAUUGGCACAAGUCAGCCGGGAUCUACGGCGGAAGCAUAAGCAAAUACAGAAUCAGAUGCGCCUAGUCUGCGAGGAGCGAUCGGAGCUGACGGCAAUAGUGCAGUCACAACAGAGGGACAUCGCCGCGCUGCAGCAGGAUAGUGCACAGAACAAGAAGUGCCCAACAUGCGGCGUGGCGACCCCAGACGGCGGCGACGACGACGACCAGUCCUCGAAGCCCACGUUCAGCGUGCGCGAGCUGCGCGCCAUCCUGCACGAGCGCAACGAGCUCAAGCUGAAGCUCAGCCGCGCCGAGGAACAGCUCAGCGCUCUACAGGCUGACCAGCAACAUGAUAGUGGAUCAGACACAUCACCAUCAGUGAGCACGGCGCACCCUGAAGAGGAAGAGCCUCCAGUCCAAGGUCCGCUGCCGGCAGAACCUGACGACGCGCCAUGGAAGAGGAACAGCGGCAUCAGGAAGUUGUUCCGUCUGGCUCUUUCAUCGCGCAGUGAAGGCCGCCGCUCCCCGCCGCCGAGAAUCUCUUUCGGCCCUUGGUAUUGAAGAAAUCUGCGGUACGUUUACAUGUAGGGGGCGCUUUGAACGUUUAUGGCAUGUGGGGGUUUAGCAGUCUGAAAAUAUAUUGAUUGAAGCUUUGUUCUAGUUUUUAGUUGAAAGUUUUCGCAAGCUCUUUGUUGAGUCUGAUCUCACCGUGGGCGGAUUCCAGCGUCGCUCGCUAUCCACGCUGCGGGGCGGGGCAGGGGGCCCGUCCCCCGCGCCCCCCGCGCACCCCGCAGGUGCCUCCGCCCCCGCGUAGACACUCCAU